CGGCCAUCUUUUGUUGCGUGCCUACACUGUCGAUGUCAGGCUGGGGACACACAGGACCGACCGAGCAUGGACAAGUCCCAGGUGGCCUUGGAAUGAACAAGCCCCUCCCUUCUCACGCGUACUUCUCGAGAAUACCUGAAGAAUGUGCCAGGAAUGCAACCACCUGGUCUAGGGAAGGACCGGCCGGACAGCCCUGGCUCUGCUCCUGUGCCUCCUAGGGCAGGAUGUCCCACACACUGUAGCCCUAUGAGUCACCCCUGGCUAUGGAACCCAGAGCAGAGUGCACCUUUGGGAUCUCUCAGCUGUGGUGUGAAGCGGGACACACAUAGACAAGGCUCCAUUCGUUCUGGGCAGCUUUCCCGAGCCUCGGGGACCCGCUCACCAUGGAUCCUAAGCUUCUGCUGUUCCCUGCUGCCUGCCUGUGAGUAAUAAAGUUGCUUUCAUAA